GAUGAACGCUAGCGGCAGGCCUAACACAUGCAAGUCGAGGGGUAACUAGAGUGAUAGCAAUAUUACUUUGGCUAGACCGGCGCACGGGUGCGUAACACGUAUGCAACCUACCUUAUACUGGGGAAUAACUUCGAGAAAUCGGCGCUAAUACCCCAUAACAUUGCGAAGAGGCAUCUCUUUGCAAUUAAAGCUCCGGCGGUAUAAGAUGGGCAUGCGUCCAAUUAGCUAGUUGGUGAGGUAACGGCUCCCCAAGGCUACGAUUGGUAGGGGUUCUGAGAGGAUGAUCCCCCAAACUGGUACUGAGACACGGACCAGACUCCUACGGGAGGCAGCAGUGAGGAAUAUUGCGCAAUGGACGAAAGUCUGACGCAGCCAUGCCGCGUGCAGGAUGACGGCCCUAUGGGUUGUAAACUGCUUUUGUACGGGAAUAAACCCUUCUACGUGUAGGAGGCUGAAGGUACCGUAAGAAUAAGCACCGGCUAACUCCGUGCCAGCAGCCGCGGUAA
rnacentral:rRNA from 1 species